UGCCUCCCCCUCCUCCUCCUCCUCCUCCUCUUCCUCCCUGACAGCUCUCUCAGAGUUGGUGGGGAAGAGGAGGAGGAGGAGGAGGAGGAGGAGGAG
rnacentral:miRNA from 1 species